UACGUAGGGGGCUAGCGUUGUCCGGAUUUAUUGGGCGUAAAGAGCUCGUAGGCGGUUUGUCGCGUCUGCCGUGAAAGUCCGGGGCUCAACUCCGGAUCUGCGGUGGGUACGGGCAGACUAGAGUGAUGUAGGGGAGACUGGAAUUCCUGGUGUAGCGGUGAAAUGCGCAGAUAUCAGGAGGAACACCGGUGGUGUAGACGGCUUACUGGACCACGACUGACACUGAGGCACGAAAGCGUGGGUAGCAAACGGG
rnacentral:rRNA from 1 species